UAUCUCUGUGCUAUUGGGAAUAUACAGAAUAUCAGAUUCUCACUUCCUUUAAUUAAUUAUAAACACAGACAUUUAUCAAUGUAAAACCUGAACAGAUAACAGAAUGAUGUUCUUUACUGCUGCCUCGUCUAUAUACUGGUUACGACAGCAUGUGACAUGUCGCAAUAGAUUAGAGAAGAUGCGUGAUCUCCUUCUGUUUUUCUCUCUUUAAUAAAAAUGUACAUUAACCCUGUUGCAUAAGUUUACACACCCUUUUCAAAUUGCUAAUGUGGCAGUGUUCAGAAUCGACCAAUCACGUUCAAACUUUUGUUAAAUACCAACUAGAAGAUACCUGCUGUCAAUUCAAAUGACUGAUGGACACCAAAUAAAGUACAGCUGUUCCUGUAGGAUUGUUUAUUUUAGUAACUGGAAAAGCCAUGGGGCUGCAAAGAGCUGACAAAGCAGGUACAGGAUCUCAUUGUUGAGAAAUAUCAAUUAGGAGAGGGUUACAAACAAAUUUCAAGACAGUGAAUAUACCAUGGAACACUGGAAAGACAAUUGUUACGUUCUAUACUUGUGGGUUCGGUGUUUUGUUUGUUCUUUCUCUGUCUCUCUCUUUGCUCCACUAUCUACCUUUUCAGAUCCCUACCAUUGGACAUCUCCUGUCAAUCUUCAUUAUCCUGUGUGACAUCACCCGUCGAUCCACCAAUCAUCCAGAAACAGAAUCACGAUUAGAAUCAGAAACAGAAACAGAAGGAGAAAGAAGAAGUGUGCUAAAUUUGUUAGAGAGCUAUGUUGUUGUUCAUUUGUUUUUAGUAUGUCAGACUGUUCAUGUAUCCCAACAUGUUAGUCACUUUGUGUAUGUGACUCGUUUUUCAUUUUGUGUAUGUGACUUGUUUUUCAUUUUGUGUAUGUGACUCGUUAGUCACUUUGUGUAUGUGACUCGUUAGUCACUUUGUGUAUGUGACUCGUUAGUCACUUUGUGUAUGUGACUUGUUAAUCACUCGUUCUGCAUCUGUAUGCUUGUGUUUAUUCUCUUUGUGGAUGUGAAUUUGUUUAUAUUGGGGAAAACUGGACAGGUGAGUACUUCACAUGACAUAUUGUACAACACGUAGGUAAGCUUUUCUGUAUUAGACACACUAGGUUAGGAGCGCGCGCCACCCUCUGUACCUUUUGUUUGGAUAGGAAGUAUAGGUUAGUUGGGGCGUCAUCGACGCUGAAGAUUUGUUUUAUUACUUUCCUUUCUAGUUCAGGUUAGAGGGUUAAGUUUAUGUUAGCGCGGUUUUGUUUUGCUUAUUUCUUUGUUUUGGCACCGCUCGUGUCUCUUUUCCCAUUUGUGUUUUUUGUUAUCUUUUUUCUGUAGAUAUCGUGAAUGUUAUCACCUUUGUCAGCACCACUUGUAUGAUAAUAGAGACAGAUUUUGCCCACUAUUUGUUGUCCUUGUCGUUGAUUGCCACAUACACAGCAGAAAUCUAACUUUAUAAUCAUUCCAUAUUGUUACCUUCCCAACCAUACCCCUAAACACCAUUUGGGAUCGUAACAACAAUAAUCAACAAACUCUAAAGCCUUUGAAAUUAUUCAGAAGUCCAUCAUAAAUCUGGUCAGGGAGGCUGUCAAGAUGCCCAAUAUAAGAUUCUUCAUAUGUCUGAACUACAGGUUAGAGUAAUAAGAUGGAAAUCAGUUUUAUUUAAAAAAAAAUGUCCAAGGCUGGCUAAAGAUAUCAACAAAAUAUAUCCAAUCUCCCAAAACUAUGUGGAAUGAUGUUUUAUGGUCUGAUGAGACUAAAGUUAAACCUUUUGGCCAUAAAAGCAAAGGAAAUGUUCGGCACAAAGAAACCACAUCAACAGAAGAUCUCCAUCCCCACAGUGAAGCAUGGAGGUGGCAGCAUCAUUGUUUGGGGCUGCUUUUCUUCAGCUGGAACUGGGGCUUUAAUCAGACUGGAGCAGGACAAUGACCUGAAGCACACCCACAAAUCAACAAAGGAAUGACUUCACCAAAACAAGUCCAGAUCCAAAUCCAAUCAAAAAUCUGUGGGGUGACCUGAAGAGGGCUGUGCACAGGAGAUCUAAAAUCUAAAGGUGCUUCAAAUAAGUAUAAAUUUAGGGGUGUGUCAGCUUAUACAACAAGGUUAUUGUACAUUUUUAUUUUUUUUACCCUAAACUAACUUUAAUAAACAAGUUGCAAUUUCACUAUAAAAAUGGAAAAGUUUCUGAUAUGAUUUUUCUUGUUUUCAUUUAUUACACAAAAACCCUGCAAUUUCAACGAGGUGUGUAAACUUUUUAUAUCUAUUACUUAUUUUUUUCUUUCUAUUUGAUUCCUGGAUUAAAAUGUAAUAUAUGUGAUAAGUUUAUAAAAUAUCAGCUUUUACUAUUAGUGUGAAGUCGAGUCAUUUACUUACCUCCCCUGUGACAAGUAUCAUGUAAAACAACAGAGAGAAAUGUAAUGUUAGAUAAAAUACAAUGAGAAAAACUUAUGAUUUACAGUCAGAACAGCUGAUAAACAAUCUUCACUCUGUGCUUUCAAAGAUGUUCAGCUACAAUUUUAACUCUUUUUAUAAAAUAUAACACAUAGUGAAUCAUUAUAAAUAGUUUAUGUUAAAUAAUGAAAGACUUCAUGAGGUGUUUUUAUAACUAAUGACUGUUUGUUAUAAAACCUUCAGCUUUUUCUCUCUCAGUAUCAGUGUGUAGGUCAGAUUUGUGUGUCUGUACAACACUAAAUGACAAACUAGACACCAGCAUGAUGAAUGUUCUGUUAGAGAUCACAGUCUGUUGUGUUCACUACACUAUGCUCAUGAUGCUCAGAUAUCUAUGUGCUAUUGCACUCUGAACACACAGCACAGUCUAAUCUAUUUCAUCUGAACAAUAAAUAUAUUAUUCAUGCAGCAUCAAGACAUCACUAGCACAGAAAAGGGGUUUAUACUCACGUCUCUGUUCAGCCUGUGAAAGUAAAUAAAACAGUGUGAAGAUUUUAUGCAUGAUUACAAAUGUGAAUUGUUCCAUGUGAAAAUGUGGAAAGUAACUGUUACUCUGGUUAAAACACAGCUGAUGUGUGUCUUAAUAAAAAAGAGGAAAACUAGACAACAAUCAGUCAUCACACACAGUAAAUCUGUAUCAUGUAGCAUUGUGCUAAUAUACCGCUAGUUCCCCUUAAGGAAGAGAAAUAUCUUGUGAUUUAUUGGAAAAUCCUAUUUUCUGAUCUCUGCAUGUCUUUACCAAUAUACAGUAUGUCAGUAUUUGUACAUUUCCCCCUGUGUAUUUUAAAUAUAUAGUGAAAUAUUUUGUAAUAUAUCUCUGUGCUAUUGUAGUAGAUAAAGGAAUAUACAGAAUAUCAGAUUCUCACUUCCUUUAAUUAUAAACACAGACAUUUAUCAAUGUAAAACCUGAACAGAUAACAGAAUGAUGUUCUUUACUGCUGCCUCGUCUAUAUACUGGUUACGACAGCAUGUGACAUGUCGCAGUAGAUUAGAGAAGAUGCGUGAUCUCCUUCUGUUU